ensembl:lncRNA
GCCUCAUCUGUCCAGCGUGAUUAAGUGAUUCCAUAUUUCAGUUAUAUUCCUGAGGUUGUUUUGCUUUCUAAAAAACAGAGUUUGGACGCCAACAAAAAAGAGAUAGAGAGAGAGAGAAAAAAGCUAGCGAGAUACAGGGACAGCUGGAAUGACGAAGAACGUCACACAGGCUCAGACCGCUGCAGGGCACGAGCAAGACGUCCUCAGGCACCGAUCACAUCCCAGACACUCUGCUAAGGGCAACAUCAUCUGGUUAGCGCCAAGAGACCCCAAGAGCAGAACGGGGGCCACCAGCAGUGGUCUAUAAGCAUAGACACGGCAAGCAACCGCAAAGUUGCCGUUUCAAGUAGCAGAAGCUACUUGAAACCUUCUCACGGCAAAUUUAGGCAGUUGGACCACGCUCCAAUGAGCCUUGGCCAUGCCAACUCCUCCAGCAACCUUAACUCCGAC